CAGUAUGUAGUUUAAUAAAAAUAUGAUAUUUGGGUUAUCAAGAUUUUUUACUGA
rnacentral:tRNA from 1 species